CCUAAUACUGCAAGUCGAGCGGAAGAUGGGAGCUUGCUCCCUGAUGUUAGCGGCGGACGGGUGAGUAACACGUGGGUAACCUGCCUGUAAGACUGGGAUAACUCCGGGAAACCGGGGCUAAUACCGGAUGGUUGUUUGAACCGCAUGGUUCAAACAUAAAAGGUGGCUUCGGCUACCACUUACAGAUGGACCCGCGGCGCAUUAGCUAGUUGGUGAGGUAACGGCUCACCAAGGCGACGAUGCGUAGCCGACCUGAGAGGGUGAUCGGCCACACUGGGACUGAGGCACGGCCCAGACUCCUACGGGAGGCAGCAGUAGGGAAUCUUCCGCAAUGGACGAAAGUCUGACGGAGCAACGCCGCGUGAGUGAUGAAGGUUUUCGGAUCGUAAAGCUCUGUUGUUAGGGAAGAACAAGUACCGUUCGAAUAGGGCGGUACCUUGACGGUACCUAACCAGAAAGCCACGGCUAACUACGUGCCAGCAGCCGCGGUAAUACGUAGGUGGCAAGCGUUGUCCGGAAUUAUUGGGCGUAAAGGGCUCGCAGGCGGUUUCUUAAGUCUGAUGUGAAAGCCCCCGGCUCAACCGGGGAGGGUCAUUGGAAACUGGGGAACUUGAGUGCAGAAGAGGAGAGUGGAAUUCCACGUGUAGCGGUGAAAUGCGUAGAGAUGUGGAGGAACACCAGUGGCGAAGGCGACUCUCUGGUCUGUAACUGACGCUGAGGAGCGAAAGCGUGGGGAGCGAACAGGAUUAGAUACCCUGGUAGUCCACGCCGUAAACGAUGAGUGCUAAGUGUUAGGGGGUUUCCGCCCCUUAGUGCUGCAGCUAACGCAUUAAGCACUCCGCCUGGGGAGUACGGUCGCAAGACUGAAACUCAAAGGAAUUGACGGGGGCCCGCACAAGCGGUGGAGCAUGUGGUUUAAUUCGAAGCAACGCGAAGAACCUUACCAGGUCUUGACAUCCUCUGACAAUCCUAGAGAUAGGACGUCCCCUUCGGGGGCAGAGUGACAGGUGGUGCAUGGUUGUCGUCAGCUCGUGUCGUGAGAUGUUGGGUUAAGUCCCGCAACGAGCGCAACCCUUGAUCUUAGUUGCCAGCAUUCAGUUGGGCACUCUAAGGUGACUGCCGGUGACAAACCGGAGGAAGGUGGGGAUGACGUCAAAUCAUCAUGCCCCUUAUGACCUGGGCUACACACGUGCUACAAUGGACAGAACAAAGGGCAGCGAAACCGCGAGGUUAAGCCAAUCCCACAAAUCUGUUCUCAGUUCGGAUCGCAGCCUGCAACUCGACUGCGUGAAGCUGGAAUCGCUAGUAAUCGCGGAUCAGCAUGCCGCGGUGAAUACGUUCCCGGGCCUUGUACACACCGCCCGUCACACCACGAGAGUUUGUAACNCCCGAAGUCGGUGAGGUAGCCUUUUAGGAGCCAGCCGCCGAAGGUGGGACAGAUGAUUGGGGGAAGUCGAACAAGGAGCCCUUGG
rnacentral:rRNA from 1 species